NNNNNNNNNNNNNNNNNNNNNNNNNNNUGCUGGUUGGCUUGUUGACCAUCGGGGAUGCUGGUUGGCCAGCUGGGCUGCUGGUUGGCUUGUUGACCAUCGGGGAUGCUGGUUGGCCAGCUGGGAUGCUGGUUGGCUUGUUGACCAUCGGGGAUGCUGGUCAGCCAACUUGGACGCUGGUUGGCUUGUUGAGCACCUGGGAUGCUGGUCAGCCAGCUCAGAUGCUGGUUGGCCAGCUGGGAUGCUGGUUGUCUUGUUGGCCAGCUGGGAUGCUGGUUGGCCAGCUGGGAUGCUGGUUGUCUGGUUGGCCAGCUGGGAUGCUGGUUGGCCAGCUGGGGUGCUGGUUGUCUUGUUGGCCAGCUGGGAUGCUGGUCAGCUGGCUGGGAUGCUGGUUGGCCAGCUGGGAUGCUGGUCAGCUGGCUGGGAUGCUGGUUGGCCAGCUAGGAUGCUGUCUAGCUGGUCAGCCACCUCAGAUGCUGGUUGGCCAACUGGGAUGCUGUCUAGCUGGUCAGCCAGCUCAGAUGCUGGUCGGCCAGCUCAGAUUCUGUUUGGCUUGUUGACCACCUGGGAUGCUGGUCAGCCAGCCGGGAUGCUGGUCCCCUGCCUGCCGGUUGACCGCCUGGGACGCUGGCGGGCUGGUUGGCCGUCUGCGAUGCUGGUCAGCCGGCCGGGCGGCUGGUGGGUUGGCUGCCUGCAAUGCUGGCUGGUCGGCCGGCUGGGCCACGCUCUGGUGAGCUGUGACCAGCACCAGGGCUGGGUGGUCGUGGCGUUGCCAAAGCCUGCGUGGAGAAGCAGCAAGGUGGUGAUUCUCCCGUCCCCGCUGGGCACAGCCAUCCCGGCAGCUCCGGACCGGCGCUGCCUCGGCGGAGGGCAGAGCGUGCCUGGCUCCCGGGGCCGUGCCCUGCACCGAUCCUGCUCUCCAGCGGCUCCAGCACGGUUCUGCCCUGGCCUCCAUCCCGUCUCCGCUCCCACCCGGACCUGGCAGCCCCGCCGGUGCCCYGGUGCCGCCUCCCCAGGCCAGGACCCGGAGGCCGUCCCGCUCCUGGGGUCGGGGACCGCAUCCUGCCGGGGGAUGCCUCCUCCGGGAAGGAGCGAUCCGACGGCUGCGGAGACGGAGCAAG
rnacentral:lncRNA from 1 species